CAUGGCUCAGAUUGAACGCUGGCGGCAGGCUUAACACAUGCAAGUCGAGCGGUAGCACAGGAGAGCUUGCUCUCUGGGUGACGAGCGGCGGACGGGUGAGUAAUGUCUGGGAAACUGCCUGAUGGAGGGGGAUAACUACUGGAAACGGUAGCUAAUACCGCAUAACGUCGCAAGACCAAAGAGGGGGACCUUCGGGCCUCUUGCCAUCAGAUGUGCCCAGAUGGGAUUAGCUAGUAGGUGGGGUAAUGGCUCACCUAGGCGACGAUCCCUAGCUGGUCUGAGAGGAUGACCAGCCACACUGGAACUGAGACACGGUCCAGACUCCUACGGGAGGCAGCAGUGGGGAAUAUUGCACAAUGGGCGCAAGCCUGAUGCAGCCAUGCCGCGUGUGUGAAGAAGGCCUUCGGGUUGUAAAGCACUUUCAGCGAGGAGGAAGGUGGUGAGCUUAAUACGCUCAUCAAUUGACGUUACUCGCAGAAGAAGCACCGGCUAACUCCGUGCCAGCAGCCGCGGUAAUACGGAGGGUGCAAGCGUUAAUCGGAAUUACUGGGCGUAAAGCGCACGCAGGCGGUUUGUUAAGUCAGAUGUGAAAUCCCCGGGCUCAACCUGGGAACUGCAUUUGAAACUGGCAAGCUAGAGUCUCGUAGAGGGGGGUAGAAUUCCAGGUGUAGCGGUGAAAUGCGUAGAGAUCUGGAGGAAUACCGGUGGCGAAGGCGGCCCCCUGGACGAAGACUGACGCUCAGGUGCGAAAGCGUGGGGAGCAAACA
rnacentral:rRNA from 1 species